GCCGGUGUAGCUCAGCUGGUAGAGCAACUGAUUCGUAAUCAGUAGGUCGGAGGUUCGAGUCCUCUCGCCGGCA
rnacentral:tRNA from 1 species